CUAUUUGUCUGUAAAGUAAUGUCUUAGAAUAAUUUUAUUUCUUCACUGUCACAAUAAAAUUAGAAAAAUACGUCUGAGACUGAGUUUAAUGCAAGUUUUGUUUUUUAAUUCAGAUUAAACAGGAAAAUGAUUAAAUGUAUUUACAGAUUUUUAUAUAUAACCUUUUGUCCUUUUAAACCAACUAUAUACAAUUUUAUAACAACUCUUAAUGUGAUGAAACAAAAAAAAAAAGCUUUAUUGAAGGAGGAUAUUCCUAAUUGACACAUGUCUUCAUCACCAGGACCCCUCCGCUGGAGCGGAGGAUGAGCUGGACGACUAUGCCAAGGAUUCCACGGCCGGACCAUCAACAGGAGGACCCCUCUGCUGGAGCGGAGGAUGACCCAGAUGACGACCCAAAGGAUACCACGGCCGAACCAUCAACAGGAGGACCCCUCUGUUUUAGCGGAGGAUGACCCGGAUGACAACGCCAAGGAUACCACGGCCGGACCAUCAACUGGAGGUAUUAAUCUGUGAAGUAAUGUGUCCUGGAAUAAUUUUAUUUUUUCAUUAGCUAAAAUAAAAUGGAAAAG